rnacentral:rRNA from 1 species
GACGAACGCUGGCGGCGUGCUUAACACAUGCAAGUCGAACGGAAAGGCCCUGCUUUUGUGGGGUGCUCGAGUGGCGAACGGGUGAGUAACACGUGAGUAACCUGCCCUUGACUUUGGGAUAACUUCAGGAAACUGGGGCUAAUACCGGAUAGGAGCUCCUGCUGCAUGGUGGGGGUUGGAAAGUCUCGGCGGUUGGGGAUGGACUCGCGGCUUAUCAGCUUGUUGGUGGGGUAGUGGCUUACCAAGGCUUUGACGGGUAGCCGGCCUGAGAGGGUGACCGGCCACAUUGGGACUGAGGUACGGCCCAGACUCCUACGGGAGGCAGCAGUGGGGAAUAUUGCACAAUGGGCGGAAGCCUGAUGCAGCAACGCCGCGUGCGGGAUGACGGCCUUCGGGUUGUAAACCGCUUUCGCCUGUGACGAAGCGUGAGUGACGGUAAUGGGUAAAGAAGCACCGGCUAACUACGUG